AGUGAACGCUGGCGGUAGGCCUAACACAUGCCAGUCGAACGGCAGCACAGGAGAGCUUGCUCUCUAGGUGGCGAGUGGCGGACGGGUGAGGAAUACAUCGGAAUCUGCCCAGUCGUGGGGGAUAACGUAGGGAAACUUACGCUAAUACCGCAUACGACCUUCGGGUGAAAGAGGGGGAUCGCAAGACCUCUCGCGAUUGGAUGAGCCGAUGUCGGAUUAGCUAGUUAGCGGGGUAAUGGCCCACCAAGGCGACGAUCCGUAGCUGGUCUGAGAGGAUGAUCAGCCACACUGGAACUGAGACACGGUCCAGACUCCUACGGGAGGCAGCAGUGGGGAAUAUUGGACAAUGGGCGCAAGCCUGAUCCAGCCAUACCGCGUGGGUGAAGAAGGCCUUCGGGUUGUAAAGCCCUUUUGUUGGGAAAGAAAUCUUUCAGGCUAAUACCCUGGGAGGAUGACGGUACCCAAAGAAUAAGCACCGGCUAACUUCAUG
rnacentral:rRNA from 1 species